rnacentral:rRNA from 1 species
AGUGAACGCUGGCGGUAGGCCUAACACAUGCAAGUCGAACGGCAGCACAGUAAGAGCUUGCUCUUACGGGUGGCGAGUGGCGGACGGGUGAGGAAUACAUCGGAAUCUACUUUUUCGUGGGGGAUAACGUAGGGAAACUUACGCUAAUACCGCAUACGACCUACGGGUGAAAGCAGGGGAUCUUCGGACCUUGCGCGAUUGAAUGAGCCGAUGUCGGAUUAGCUAGUUGGCGGGGUAAAGGCCCACCAAGGCGACGAUCCGUAGCUGGUCUGAGAGGAUGAUCAGCCACACUGGAACUGGGACACGGUCCAGACUCCUACGGGAGGCAGCAGUGGGGAAUAUUGGACAAUGGGCGCAAGCCUGAUCCAGCCAUACCGCGUGGGUGAAGAAGGCCUUCGGGUUGUAAAGCCCUUUUGUUGGGAAAGAAGAGCAGCAGGUUAAUACCCCGCUGUUCUGACGGUACCCAAAGAAUAAGCACCGGCUAACUUCGUG